rnacentral:rRNA from 1 species
GGGCCCGCACAAGCGGUGGAGCAUGUGGUUUAAUUCGAUGCAACGCGAAGAACCUUACCUGCCUUUGACAUUGACAGAACCCCUGGAGAGAUCCGGGGGUGCCUUCGGGCCUGGAAAACAGGUGCUGCAUGGCUGUCGUCAGCUCGUGUCGUGAGAUGUUGGGUUAAGUCCCGUAACGAGCGCAACCCUUGUCCUUAGUUGCCAGCACGUAAUGGUGGGAACUCUAAGGAGACUGCCGGUGACAAACCGGAGGAAGGUGGGGAUGACGUCAAGUCCUCAUGGCCCUUACGGCUGGGCUACACACGUGCUACAAUGGCGGUUACAAUGGGACGCGAAUGGGCAACCUGGAGCUAA